rnacentral:rRNA from 1 species
UACGUAGGGGGCAAGCGUUGUCCGGAAUCAUUGGCGUAAAGCGCGUGUAGGCGGCCUUGUAAGUCCGUUCAUGAAAGCCCGGGGCUCAACCCCGGGAGGCGGAUGGAUACUGCAAGGCUCGAGUACGGAAGAGGCGAGUGGAAUUCCCGGGUGUAGCGGUGAAAUGCGCAGAUAUCGGGAGGAACACCAAUGGCGAAGGCAGCUCGCUGGGACGUUACUGAACGCUGAGACGCGAAAGCGUGGGAGCAA